rnacentral:rRNA from 1 species
CUGUGGGUAGCGGAGAAAUUCCAAUCGAACUUGGAGAUAGCUGGUUCUCUCCGAAAUAGCUUUAGGGCUAGCCUCAAGUGAUGAUUAUUGGAGGUAGAGCACUGUUUGGACGAGGGGCCCCUCUCGGGUUACCGAAUUCAGACAAACUCCGAAUGCCAAUUAAUUUAACUUGGGAGUCAGAACAUGGGUGAUAAGGUCCGUGUUCGAAAGGGAAACAGCCCAGACCACCAGCUAAGGUCCCAAAAUAUAUGUUAAGUGGAAAAGGAUGUGGCGUUGCCCAGACAACUAGGAUGUUGGCUUAGAAGCAGCCAUCAUUUAAAGAGUGCGUAAUAGCUCACUAGUCGAGUGACACUGCGCCGAAAAUGUACCGGGGCUAAACAUAUUACCGAAGCUGUGGAUUGUCCGUAGGACAAUGGUAGGAGAGCGUUCUAAGGGCGUUGAAGCAUGAUCGCAAGGACAUGUGGAGCGCUUAGAAGUGAGAAUGCCGGUGUGAGUAGCGAAAGACGGGUGAGAAUCCCGUCCACCGAUUGACUAAGGUUUCCAGAGGAAGGCUCGUCCGCUCUGGGUUAGUCGGGUCCUAAGCUGAGGCCGACAGGCGUAGGCGAUGGAUAACAGGUUGAUAUUCCUGUACCACCUAGCAUCGUUUUAAUCGAUGGGGGGACGCAGUAGGAUAGGCGAAGCGUACGAUUGGAUUGUACGUCUAAGCAGUGAGAUUGAGUGUUAGGCAAAUCCGGCACUCUUAAGAUUGAGCUGUGAUGGGGAGAGGAAAUUGUUUCCUCGAGUCGUUGAUUUCACACUGCCGAGAAAAGCCUCUAGAUAGAUAAUAGGUGCCCGUACCGCAAACCGACACAGGUAGUCAAGAUGAGAAUUCUAAGGUGAGCGAGCGAACUCUCGUUAAGGAACUCGGCAAAAUGACCCCGUAACUUCGGGAGAAGGGGUGCUCUUUAGGGUGCAAGCCCAGAAGAGCCGCAGUGAAUAGGCCCAAGCGACUGUUUAUCAAAAACACAGGUCUCUGCUAAACCGUAAGGUGAUGUAUAGGGGCUGACGCCUGCCCGGUGCUGGAAGGUUAAGAGGAGUGGUUAGCUUCUGCGAAGCUACGAAUCGAAGCCCCAGUAAACGGCGGCCGUAACUAUAACGGUCCUAAGGUAGCGAAAUUCCUUGUCGGGUAAGUUCCGACCCGCACGAAAGGCGUAACGAUUUGGGCACUGUCUCAACGAGAGACUCGGUGAAAUCAUAGUACCUGUGAAGAUGCAGGUUACCCGCGACAGGACGGAAAGACCCCGUGGAGCUUUACUGUAGCCUGAUAUUGAAAUUCGGCACAGCUUGUACAGGAUAGGUAGGAGCCUUUGAAACGUGAGCGCUAGCUUACGUGGAGGCGCUGGUGGGAUACUACCCUAGCUGUGUUGGCUUUCUAACCCGCACCACUUAUCGUGGUGGGAGACAGUGUCAGGCGGGCAGUUUGACUGGGGCGGUCGCCUCCUAAAAGGUAACGGAGGCGCUCAAAGGUUCCCUCAGAAUGGUUGGAAAUCAUUCAUAGAGUGUAAAGGCAUAAGGGAGCUUGACUGCGAGACCUACAAGUCGAGCAGGGUCGAAAGACGGACUUAGUGAUCCGGUGGUUCCGCAUGGAAGGGCCAUCGCUCAACGGAUAAAAGCUACCCCGGGGAUAACAGGCUUAUCUCCCCCAAGAGUUCACAUCGACGGGGAGGUUUGGCACCUCGAUGUCGGCUCAUCGCAUCCUGGGGCUGUAGUCGGUCCCAAGGGUUGGGCUGUUCGCCCAUUAAAGCGGUACGCGAGCUGGGUUCAGAACGUCGUGAGACAGUUCGGUCCCUAUCCGUCGUGGGCGUAGGAAAUUUGAGAGGAGCUGUCCUUAGUACGAGAGGACCGGGAUGGACAUACCUCUGGUGUACCAGUUGUCGUGCCAACGGCAUAGCUGGGUAGCUAUGUAUGGACGGGAUAAGUGCUGAAAGCAUCUAAGCAUGAAGCCCCCCUCAAGAUGAGAUUUCCCAACUUCGGUUAUAAGAUCCCUCAAAGAUGAUGAGGUUAAUAGGUUCGAGGUGGAAGCGUGGUGACACGUGGAGCUGACGAAUACUAAUCGAUCGAAGACUUAAUCAAUUU